UUCAAACCACCAAACUUGGAGAUAAGGGACUAUUCUUGGGUUCCAGUCAAAAGAUAGGUGGCUUGGCUAAGGCAGCAGCUGUGGGGGAGACUUAAAGCAGCCAUGAGAACGAUUCUGAGCAGCCCCAUUUCAAAGGGAUACCCAGCCAUUUUAUGAGGCAAGAUGGCCCAGGAAGGAGAGGCAGGUUCUUUAGCUGUGUGGUCUUGGGGCUCCUGUCACCAUGGAGACGGAACUGAACAAUGAGCAGCCAGAGAUGCAGCAUGGCUGCCUGGCACCGCGGCCACACUCCCGCCAGGCCCUCACACCUACACACAGGAGCUCAUGCACUCACCCUCAUGUGCGCCUGCAUGCAUGGACGUACGUGCACAUAUGCGCACACACGCAUGCAGAGUUCCAGGAAGGAGAAAGAAAUAGAGAAACCGGGUGAAUGCUGUGUGAAGAUAGCUAUCCUGGAGGCCUGCUGGAUUCCUUUAGUGGAAAAUAGGAAGACUUACCAGUUGACCUGGCGCUACUGUCUACACCGACUUCCAGUUCAGAAAAAGCAAAUUCUCAGAAGACUCUCAGGAAGUAGUGUUAGACCCAUGACAUUGACCGCCAUGUAGUUCAGGGGCCCAGAGCCGAGGUGAGAAAGUGAGGAUGUAAGAACUUAAAGGUAUUUCUAGGCAUAGAGUUUUAAAGGAGAACACAGAGAGGAAGCAAGAGGAACAGGGCACGCUGGGAACAAGGAAACGCUUGAAAAGGUAAAGGAAGCCUGGGUUGAAAGAGAAGCCUAUGGCCCUGAAUCCGGAAAACUGAUUCGGGAUUAGCAGGUUCCAAGCCUCCCCACAUUGGUUGCGCACAGCAUGAUCCAUCUUCACACUCCCAGCACCUACUCCCGGGGGCAUCAUGACAGAUGGACAGCAGUAGACAUUAAAAUCACAGUAGGCUGGAGCCAGGCUCUUUCCCCAAUAUCCACAUCCCCUCCCCUUUCAGGAUCCCUUCUAGAAGCUUCUCAAGCUCCAGGGAGCCAUCUGCACUGGCUCAGACGUGGCAGAGAAGGAAUUAAAACGUGAGAGGCAAGAUCAGAGAGAGACUUGCUCCCCUCAAGAACCUCUUAAGUAGAGGGAAAAAGGCAGGCAAUUUUUAAUCAUCACGGAUUGUUUAAACUUCUGAAUCCGUCUUCUGCGGAGCCUAGGGAGCACCCAUUGUGGCUGGUACCCAGCAGUAGUCCUUGGUCCACCUACCCCCAACAGUCACACACAUUUCCUGGACCCUUCUGUAGGUCCUCCCAGGGUCCUUGCUAGGCCAGGCCAGCAGGACCCUGCUUAUCUAAGGAGAUCUGACAAGACUGCAGCCCUGGGGGUAUGGCUGCUGGCGAAACAUAUGGUACAUCGUAAAUAGGACUUCCUUUUAGGAAAUGAGCUGCUGUAAUUAAAUCCCCAUUCAUUUUUCUGUAACAUACACACAGAGACAAAUAGAUCUUUAUCCUUUAGAAGCUCCGAAGAGAAAAGGCUUGUGGGGAGCUGAGAUUCUCAACUGUGACUUUUAUAAAAGAUUGCUUAGAUCCAGGUGAAAUAAGAAGUCCCUUUUUUGGGGGGGGGGGGGGUGGAGUGGGGGGGGGUGGAGUCCUCUG
rnacentral:lncRNA from 1 species